UGGAGACAUGACGUGACAGUCCAUCACUUUUUCGCUCUUAGGAUUACGACCGCGAUCGCGCUUUUGUCCUGCCUCGGCGCGUCAAGGUCGCAUGUCGCGACGAUGGGCACGUUGGCACUGCCCCGGGUGGUCGUCGAGGGUCAGCCGCUCGGGGCCAACAUCGAGCGCGUCGUCCAGGCGCUCGACUAUCUCGGCGCGCCUCUCACGGCAGGGCUUCGCGACGACCUGGGUCGCGCGAGCCGGGCACGUGACGCGGCGAAGCUGCAGGAUCUGCUCGACACGCACACGCUGCUCGCCGU
rnacentral:misc_RNA from 1 species